rnacentral:lncRNA from 1 species
CUUUGCUCUUCUUGCUUGGUACAUAUUUGCCUUGGUUUUAUUGUUUUCUCUGCUUCUCCUCAGUCUAUUCAUCUAGGGGCAAUGAUCUCCAGCAGGGCUCUCCUCCUUUAUUCUUGCCCACUUUGUCUUGUUCUAGUUGUCCCAUGUCUUUCCAUACAUCUCUCCCCCCGAUUCUCUGUAUACUUGUUUACUCUAAUGAAGCCCAUCAUAAUUGAAUCACCCUACCUUCCCUUUUGGAGAUCUGUAAAGUGUAUGUAGCUCUGUAACCCCUGUAUUGGCCUCCCCUCUUCCCCACCCCCAUCUUU